UUCUUCCGAUCUGGCGGUUUCACGGUCUCUUGAACUCUCUCUCCAAAGUUCUUUUCAACUUCCCCUCGCGGUACUUGUCGGCUAUCGGACUCAUCCCCAUAUUUAGCCUUGGAUGGAGCUUACCACCCGCUUUGGGCUGCGUUCCCAAGCAACCCGACUCUCGGGCCGA